rnacentral:rRNA from 1 species
UACGUAGGGGGCAAGCGUUAUCCGGAUUUACUGGGUGUAAAGGGAGCGUAGACGGCAGUGCAAGUCUGAAGUGAAAGGCGGGGGCCCAACCCCCGGACUGCUUUGGAAACUGUGCUGCUGGAGUGCAGGAGAGGCAAGUGGAAUUCCUAGUGUAGCGGUGAAAUGCGUAGAUAUUAGGAGGAACACCAGUGGCGAAGGCGGCUUGCUGGACUGUAACUGACGUUGAGGCUCGAAAGCGUGGGGAGCAAGCAGG